GACGAACGCUGGCGGCGUGCUUAACACAUGCGAGUCGAACGGAAAGACCCUGCUUUUGUGGGGUGCUCGAGUGGCGAACGGGUGAGUAACACGUGAGUAACCUGCCCUUGACUUUGGGAUAACUUCAGGAAACUGGGGCUAAUACCGGAUAGGAGCUCCUGCUGCAUGGUGGGGGUUGGAAAGUUUCGGCGGUUGGGGAUGGACUCGCGGCUUAUCAGCUUGUUGGUGGGGUAGUGGCUUACCAAGGCUUUGACGGGUAGCCGGCCUGAGAGGGUGACCGGCCACAAUGGGACUGAGAGACGGCCCAGACUCCUACGGGAGGCAGCAGUGGGGAAUAUUGCACAAUGGGCGGAAGCCUGAUGCAGCAACGCCGCGUGCGGGAUGACGGCCUUCGGGUUGUAAACCGCUUUCGCCUGUGACGAAGCGUGAGUGACGGUAAUGGGUAAAGAAGCACCGGCUAACUACGUG
rnacentral:rRNA from 1 species